GCCCACAACUUGGCUGGUGCUUUCCUGCCCCGUGCUAUGGAGCCCACGCUACGGGAUGCACGCUCCUCUGGGACCCCUGAGAAAACGCUGAAGUCUGAAUUGACAGCAGUUCCUCACAACGCACGCACAGUUAUCUCCAAGCAGAGGAGGACCCACAGAGCAGCUGCAGGUGGGAAAGAACUGUUGGCGACCUGCUUUCUGAAGGAUCCUCAGCAAUCCAGCAUCCUUCAUCUUACCUUCAGCACUCCUCCCACCUCUAAAGAUCUGUUCAGAACAUGCCUCUGUUCCUUUCACACACGCACACACACCAGAUCCCUCCAUUUCAGAUGUUACACAAUCAGAGUGUGAGAGCAAUCGGCCUCCCAGCUACACUGGAAAAGCCAGUCACUACUCAGGGGAAAAAAAUGCUAUGGAAUCCUCGGAUAGUUACCUCCUGCCUCACCAAGAGCAGUGGGUCAUAGGAGGAAGGACGCUCCCCCCCGCCGCCCCCCCCCCCCAGCCUGGGUCAUUUCAUUUGCUCGAGCCUCGGACUUCCCUUAUGAAAAUGACGGUGUUGAAGUCCUCCAGACUUGGGUAGAGUUUCUUUCUGCUACGGCUUUGGUGUUGAGGAGCUGGGAAUCAAACUCAAAUCCUAAGGAUUGGCAUCAGGUCCCAGUACUUGUGAGCCAUCUCUAUGGUACUAGCACCCUUUCUAAAUGGUAACUGAGGUGACUUUUUAAAAGAUGGGACUCUGGGGUUGGAUGGCUCAGCGGUAAAAAGCACUUGCUCUUUUUGCAGAGAACCUGGAUUUGGUUGGUUCCCAGGACCCAGACUGGACGAUUCACAAGUGUCUGUAAUUCCAACCUCAAGAACAUUGACUUCCUCUCCUGAUCUCCACAAACACCUCUGUGUGCAUGCACAUGCAUGCACACGUGUGUGCACACAUACACUUAAAAAUAAAAUUAGGCCGGGCGUGGUGGU